rnacentral:lncRNA from 1 species
UUGUUGGCAUGACACGGAUUAUGUUCUUCUCAUAUAUGUUAUGAUGGUAUGAUACUAAACCCCUAACGGGAAGGAUUGUGACUGAUGUUCAUAUGAUGAAAUCAUAAUCUUUCAGUCAGUUUAAUUGAAGUCUGGAGCUGGCAUGUCAGUUAACUGCUAGUAGUCUGUUGUUAUUUAUGUAUUAUUGUCAUUUUGUUUAUUUUCUUUGGUUACAUCUUCUGACAUCAGACUCGGACUUCUCUUGGACUGAAUUUUAAUGUGCGUAUUGUUUUGCGUUUACUUUUCUACAUUGGCUAGAGGUAUAGGGGAAGG